AUACGGAGGGUGCAAGCGUUAAUCGGAAUUACUGGGCGUAAAGAGUACGUAGGCGGCCUAUUAAGUCAGAUGUGAAAGCCCAGGGCUCAACCUUGGAACUGCAUUUGAAACUAGUAGACUAGAGUAUGGUAGAGGGGGGUAGAAUUUCUAGUGUAGCGGUGAAAUGCGUAGAUAUUAGAAGGAAUACCAGUGGCGAAGGCGGCCCCCUGGACCAAUACUGACACUGAGGUACGAAAGCGUGGGUAGCGAACAGGAUUAGAUACCCAAGUAGUCC
rnacentral:rRNA from 1 species